AAUGAACGUUGGCGGCGUGGAUUAGGCAUGCAAGUCGUACGAGAAUCGUAGCAAUACGAGGAAAGUGGCGGAAGGGAGAGGAUUACGUGGGAAUCUACCCUCAGAACUGGGAUAGCGGCGGGAAACUGCCGGUAAUACCAGAUAAUGUCUGUGGACCAAAGGUGUGAUUCCGUCUGGGGAUGAGCCCACGUCCUAUUAGCUAGUUGGCAGGGUAAUGGCCUACCAAGGCAAUGAUGGGUAGCGGGUGUGAGAGCAUGACCCGCCUCACUGGGACUGAGAACUGCCCAGACACCUACGGGUGGCUGCAGUCGAGAAUCUUCGGCAAUGAGCGCGAGCUUGACCGAGCGACGCCGCGUGCGGGAUGAAGGCCUUCGGGUUGUAAACCGCUGUCGUAGGGGAGCAAGAGAUGAGGGUACUCCCUCUGAUUUGAGCGAUCCUAGGAGGAAGGACGGGCUAAGUUCGUGCCAGCCGCCGCCGUAAGAC
rnacentral:rRNA from 1 species